rnacentral:rRNA from 1 species
CAUAGAUAAUGUGCCCCUUAGUUCGGGAUAGCCACUGGAAACGGUGAUUAAUACCGGAUACUCCUUCUUGUUAUAAGACAAGUCGGGAAAGUUUUUCGCUAAGGGAUCAGUCUAUGUUCCAUCAGCUUGUUGGUGAGGUAAUGGCUCACCAAGGCUAUGACGGAUAUCUGGUUUGAGAGGAUGAUCAGACACACUGGAACUGAGACACGGUCCAGACUCCUACGGGAGGCAGCAGUGAGGAAUAUUGCACAAUGGAGGAAACUCUGAUGCAGCAACGCCGCGUGGAGGAUGACGCAUUUCGGUGUGUAAACUCCUUUUAUUAGGGAAGAUAAUGACGGUACCUAAUGAAUAAGCACCGGCUAACUCCGUGCCAGCAGCCGCGGUAAUACGGAGGGUGCAAGCGUUACUCGGAAUCACUGGGCGUAAAGGGUGCGUAGGCUGGCUUUUAAGUCAGAUGUGAAAUCCAAUGGCUCAACCAUUGAACUGCAUUUGAAACUGAAAGCCUAGAGUUCAGAAGGGGCAGAUGGAAUUAGUGGUGUAGGGGUAAAAUCCGUAGAUAUCACUAGGAAUAUCAAAAGCGAAGGCGAUCUGCUGGGAUG